CAGUAGCCGCGGUAAUACGGAGGGGGCUAGCGUUGUUCGGAAUUACUGGGCGUAAAGCGCACGUAGGCGGCUUUGUAAGUUAGAGGUGAAAGCCUGGGGCUCAACUCCAGAAUUGCCUUUAAGACUGCAUCGCUUGAACGUCGGAGAGGUGAGUGGAAUUCCGAGUGUAGAGGUGAAAUUCGUAGAUAUUCGGAAGAACACCAGUGGCGAAGGCGGCUCACUGGACGACUGUUGACGCUGAGGUGCGAAAGCGUGGGGAGCAAACAGGAUUAGAUACCCCCGUAGUCCCUGUCUCUUAUAC
rnacentral:rRNA from 1 species